ACUGGAAACAACCGAGAGUCGGAAAUACUCAGGAGUUCGACUAGUUCAUCUUGAUCUAUUUUGAUCAUUCCUGACUUAAUGCAUCUCCUUCAGCAAGCCUCUGCUUGAUUGCACCCUUCAUCACUUAAAGUAAAAGAUUCCCCUUCUCAAAUUCUGCAGAUGAAGAUUAAUACAGUAAGAUCUGGCUGGAUUAUGGGGUUCUCAGAGGAGAAGCACGCUGGUUCUGACAUACUAUGGAGAAUACUGCCAUCUCCGGUGUAAGCCUGUAUGCCUUCUAAAGAUAAAGGUAAAGGUUUCCCUCGCGCAUAUGUGCUAGUCGUACCUGACUCUAGGGGGUGGUGCUCAUCUCCGUUUCAAAGCCAAAGAGCCACCGCUGUCCGAAGACGUCUCCGUGGUCAUGUGGCCGGCAUGACUAAUCGCCAAAGGCGCACAGAACACUGUUACCUUCCCACCAAAGGUGGUCCCUAUUUUUCUACUUGCAUUUUUUACCUGCUUUCAAACUGCUAGGUUGGCAGAAGCUGGGACAAGUAACGGGAGCUCACCCCGUUACACAGCA